rfam:Schistosoma mattheei strain Denwood, Zambia genome assembly, scaffold: SMTD_scaffold0001144
AUCCAACCGACGAGUCCAAAAAUAGGAAGAAACGCCCGUUCUGGAU